rnacentral:lncRNA from 10 species
GUAUUACCACUUAACCAAUAGUGACCACAUUAAUACUUAUGCUGGUGAAUGCCAUGGGCAGGGCUUAGGGCACUCCAGUCAGUGAACUCAGCACAGGCGUCUUGCUCUGAACACAUGCAGGCCUGGGCACAGCCGAAGUGGGGCCCAGGAGAAAGCUGGUCGUGAUGUGCUAAAGCCCCUUUGCUUUCCCAGAGAAGGAUCUGCAAGCAGGGUCUUUGCUGGUAACCAAGCGGAGCAUUGUCCCCCUAGAGAAACUCCCUGAUUGAGGGGCCAUGGCACGCCCCUGCUCUUCUGUGGCCUUCUGUGUCCUCAUCUGUAUUUGGGGCUCCCACUACGUCUCUCAGGAUUGGUGACAAGAUUAAAUGAGAGUAUAUGAGACUUGGCGUACUUUCCCCCAGGGAUUCCAUAAAGCAGUCCCAUUGGAAGCUCUUGCAUUUGGAGAUUUCCAGUGAUGUUUCUACUUCAUCAUUCACAUCCCUUCCUGGAAACAUGGAUGUGGUGGCACUGGACCAGGAGUGUGCCUACGCUGGGCAUGAAGCCAAGUCCAGAAGUUGGCAUCCAAGAUCAGAAGACAUGACCAGUGCAUUGAUCUGGAAUGCCUGGCCAAGAGCCUGAACUCAGAACCCAGCAGCAGAAUGGACAGUAGUCUCAAGAGCCAACAUGGGGAGGUUCAAGAUGAGGGCAGGAGGGGUAUCCUGGGCACUUGUAUAGGGCAGCCACUGUCUUGCCCAAGGAAGAGAAGGAGGCUGUGUUUGGUACCAGGUGAGUGGGAAACGCCAGUGUGUGCAUGACCCAUGAUAAUUCCUCCACCAAGAUUGUCAAUUGGUAAUAAAUCUGGGGAGAUUUUGCUGAGAAAAGUGGCCAGAGAGAGCAAAGGCAAGAAUGUUAGAGAUUCUUAGGUUUUAGUAGAAAGAGCAUAGUUUGAAGCCAGAUGACCUUGCGUUUAAAUCUCUGAUUUGACUUUGAUGAAUGACACAGUCUUGAUUAUGGUCACUGUAAGUAAUCUGUUCGACGGGCACGAUAACACCUACUACAAGUUUUUGUAAAACUUAUGUGAGCCAAGUGUAGAAAAUGCCCAGAAGAGGGGCUGGCUCGUACUAGGUGGCCCAUAAGUGUUCAUUCCCUGACAUUCACCUUCUCCCUUUCCCCUUAAAAGCAAUGGAAGCCUGGCUGAAGACUGGGGCAGGAGGGUUGGGAGUGAAUUUGGAGGCAGAGAGAGUCUCUGAGACUCUGUCAUUGGGGACUGACAUCCAAGCUGGUGUAAUUCAAGAAGUGCCAGGAGACCCCACCCACUCAGGAAAUCCCCACCAGCCAGAUGGUGACUUGUGGGGUGUAACUUAAUAACCUCCUGGAUUAAGGGCCUUAACAAUGAUUGGUGGCUGUAGGAUGGUUGGGGGGUCCGCAGAUUUAGCCACUGUGUGCAGAGAAGCACACACAGAUAGAGCUCUCAGGGCAAGCUCGGCGGGCCAGGUCGAGAAGGCUGAUCCUUGGAGUUUUCCUGCUGUUGUGGAGUGUGGAGCCCUGGGCUUUGCCAGGACAGAUGGCAGCUGACUCAGAAAUUGGAAUGAGUUGUCUGUGGAUCCUGUAAGGAGCCUGGACAUGGUGAAGAGAAUGCCUUGACCAUCAGGAGACAGCUUAGCUUGUUGAAUCUUGAUCACUUCUUCUGACCGCUUUGGAUCUUAAAAGAACAAGGGAUGAUGGUGACUUAUGGUGACAACCAAGAACAGGCUUCAGAAAGAAAGCAGCUGUGUAGCUAUGGCCAAAUUGAACUUCUUGAGUCGGUGUCCUCGCUUGUAAAAUGGACAAUUCUACUGAAGGAAAUUGAAGGUCUUACCGACUCCAUCCAAGGAAUUGACAAGAGAUCCCCAAGAAGGUUGCAUAGAGCGAGUGAGAACACUGUCUUGAACUGCUGGGGCAUCUGCCUAAGAAUGAAAGCAAAGAACAGAGGAAAGCAGACCUAGGAGAAGGAGGGAAAGACAACGUCCCAGUAAUAACAUUCAAGCUUCUGGAUCCAACCAUGUUUGCUGCCGGACAUUAGUCCUGGUACUUCUUGUUACAUGAUCCAGUGAAUGGCUCCUCGUGCCCUCCUCUCCCCAUAUGUUUCCUCCUUUUUUUGCUUAAGGUAGUUUGAGGUAGAUUUCCAUUGUCUGCAAGUACAGAAAGAUUUGUGGAGUAGAUAGCACCUCAGCUGCAUCUUGAAGGAUGAAUAGGAAAUUCUCAGGAGAAAUAGGGAUGGAACUGAGGUGAGUAAGACUUUUCGGGCAGAAGGAACAUAUAAACAGCUUAGGGAGAAAUAUUCUAAGUGAAAUAUUUAUAUAAAAUAACUAUACAAUGGGCAUUUCCAUGGGCUCAGGCUUCUCACUUAGAAAAAUACUCUUGGCUCUCUAUAGCUGUGAGUUCCACGUCUGUGGAUUCAAACAACUGAGGAUUGAAAUAUUGGGGGAAAAAGGAUGGUUGUGUAUGUACUGAAUAUUUGUGGAUUUUUUGUCCUUGUCAUUGUCCCCAAACAAUACAGUAUAGCAACUGUUUACAUAGCAUUGAUACUGCAUUGGGUAUAAGUAAUCUAGAGAUGAUUUAAAGUAUGCAGGAGGAUGUGCACAGGUUAUAUGCAAAUCUAUGCUUUUUAAAAUUAUACUUUAAGUUCUGGGGUACAUGUGCAGAACGUUCAGGUUUGUUACAUAGGUAUACACGUGCUAUGGUGGUUUGCUGCACCCAUCAACCCGUCAUCUACCUUGGUAUUUCUCCUAAUGCUCUCCCUCCCCUAGCUCCCCACCCCCCGACAGGCCCCGGUGUGUGAUGUCCCCCUCCCUGUGUCUAUGUGUUCUCUUUGUUCAACUCCCACUUAUGAGUGAGAACAUGCAGUGUUUGGUUUUCUGUUCUUGCGUUAGUUUGCUGAGAGUGAUGGUUUCCAGCUCCAUCCAUCUCCCUGUAAAGGACAUGAACUCAUCCUUUUUUAUGGCUGCAUAAUACUAUGCUAUUUUAUAUCAGGGACUUGAGCAGCUGUGGAGUCUGGUAUCCAUGGCAGGGUCCUGGAACCAAUUCCCAGUGGAUACUGAGGGAUGACUGUACAGCUAUAGAGUGGCCAACAUUCAUUUGUAAACAGUACCCAC